UGCUCAGUCCCUUCGCAUUACCUAAUGUCUGAAUUACAAGAUUCCAAUACAAAGAGUUCUACUGAUGACAUUCUGAGGAGCUCAGAGGACUUUAUGAGCAGUGUAACUCCCCAGCCUCACUCUGCGCUGAUGCUAUGACCAAAGAAGGCUAUUGGCAGCCCUGGAGCCUCAUUUUUCUGUUUUAAGUCUGCUCUCUUGGUGGUCAGUUUAGGAACGAUGACACUUUUUGCAAACUGUGGGGGGAGAUGAAACAGAUGCCUCUUGGAGCACGCUCAUUCCCCUGAGCAGCGGAGUUCUUUCUCCCCUGCUUAGCACUGCUGGUGAUGAAUUUACUAACGAGGCCAUCUGGACAAGGCAUCAGCCUGGCCACACGUGGCCCAGAACUCUCUGUGAUGGUGGAAUCAGACAACCACCUGACCAUUUCCUUCAGGAUGCCUGAGCUUCGUGGAUGUAUCAUCUGUCCUAAAUAUAAAUCCUUCCUUAUAAACAGCAAGAAAACAUUCUAGCUAUUUAAUCCUGGUUAGCAGUCCCUCUUAGGUGAUGCAGUAGUUUAUCUCAGGAGAACUUUCAGCCUUCUGCUAAAAUGAGCCAUUCCCUAUGUUGUUCAUGCAUUUGUGCCAGGAGCGCUCCUAAAGCAUUGCUGUAUGCACUGAAAGCAAGGGAAGAUUGAGAUUUGUAAGACAGGCAGCAUCACAAGCUCACGCCAGCUCCAAAAUUGCUAAAUCAUACUCUGCUGACCGAUGGAACAGUUUCUUCUUCCCACCUAACUUUAUGCAAGGUAUUGCGAUGUUGGCAACUCGGACAUUUGCUGUAAUACGAGCACGACCUGAAAAAUCUGCAGCCCUCUGCAUAGCUGGGGAGUCAGCUGGGUCUCUGCAGUCUCAGUUUCCUUGUCACCAGAGGGAAUUUCUCCCCCUGUCCCUCAAGAUAAGCUGGAUCUUUUUGGAGCUUCUUGCAUGUUCCCAAGUUGCAGUUAGCACAUCCAAAUACUUCAGCGUGGCCACACACAAACAUAUCGCCUUUCGUUUAAAGGUUCUGCCUUGCCCCAAAAUAGCUGUCAGAUGCAACACACAGAGACAUGCAGCGUGCAGUAAAUCUCUUCUUGUGUUCUCUAGAUGUUUCUAGCAUCAACAUGCCAAAUUCUAUAACGGUAAGUUGUCUUAGGCCUUACUGACCUGUGAAAACAAUUUUUUACUCUGUUGUUUGGAUCCAACACCAAAUGUUAAGAGUCAGCUGGAAAAGCAAACAGUCUUCUACAGUUUCCAAAGCAACAUUUAUUUGUGGUGCUGCUGGGAUUGUAUUUAGCCCCAUCAUCCACACCAAACCUGUGCCAAUGUCCCUCCUCUUCCAAAGCUCUGUGGGUGAAGCUCACUUAUGCCUGAUGUAUUUAAAGCACAGUAAAGCCUCUUUCUUGAAGAGAUCUUUCUCUCCUGGUAGUAAUCUUGAGUAGUAUCAGUGCAGUACUGUUCAUUUCCUCCUGCUUUCUAUCCAAAAAUCUCCCUGCCCUUUCUGCUCCCUCUCAUUCAGUGGCCAGGACUGCAUCACAACAAAUCCAACUGAAGUGCUGCGAGCUCCUUUUCACCUGCCCUUUCUCAUAGCUUUAGUCUGUGUCUAUAGGAACUGUCUCUAACUCUGCCACCCUGCUCUCCUCGUUACUUUUUGCUGCCUGCCAAAGUGCUCAUCAAACAAGCAAGGAUCAGCAUUUGCUUUGGGUGCAGAGGAGGAACUUUAGCAUCCGGGGGGCCUGGAGGAGUUUAAAUUAAGGAGGUUUAGCUGCUAUUUCAGCUCCAAGCCAUUUACCAUCUCUGCUGGAGACUGCCAAGGCAUAAUGUUAUUUUUCUGUUCUCUAUCCUUUGGAACUCAGUGACCUGCUUGCUGCAAAUCAUUUGUUUCAUUUCUGCAUUCAUAUCCUAAAAGGAAUUUCUACAAAGAGAUUUUGGCAGUGGCCCCAACGCAUUAACCACAACAGGAUCCCUUACAGCCACCGCCUCUGGUUUCCAGGUAUCAGGCUCAAAGUCCUUCUGCUCUUGCUUUAAUUCUUCAAGGUCGUUUUUACUUUCUAUGAGCAACUCCAUUAUUCAUUCCAGCGUGAUUCAAUACCACCCAAACAUUCCUCACCUUGGAAACCACGUCGGCUCUUUUGUCCUGAGCGAGGAGCCAGCAGGCAGAGAUUGCUGCGGCACAGCCGCGUUUACUUACACAUUUAUCCCUGGCCAUAUUAGGAAUUAGACCUCUGGAGACAGUUUUUGUCCCCCAGUCUGAAGCCGUCUUCCAGCCUGCACAGUCCUAGACGCUGACUCCAGUUCAUUACUGUCACUUCUAUGGCAGCACUACAAGAGUAACAGAAUCCGAACGAGGGUCUUGUGUCCAGCCCAGGACCGAGGCAAGAUGCGAUUCUUCCCUGGGAGUUCCCUCGCUGAGCAGGUAUUAAUGGUGCUGAAAAUCUAGUUUCAGCACUGUGACUACGCAAUCGAUAGAAGGCUAAUUGAAGCAUUGCUGCUUUUGUGACCACUGUGCUCAGAUCUCCUGUGAUCUUUGUGCUCUUCUGGCCAGGCAGUCAGCAGUGCAGCUCUAAUGCAACACAUUCCCUAAUUGUCUCUGGCAUUUCAAUCCCCCAGAAUUGUGUUGUUUGUUGGUACGCUUAAAUUGACUCUCAGUUUCCUCUACCACAUAGCUGUCACUUUACCAGCCUGACCUCUUCUUACCUUCUCAAAUAAUUGGCACCCUGAUAUUACAGUGUCCAACUAGAAAAUCUUCUUUCUGAUGGGUCUCUAGGACCUCUAUUAUGCCAAUAUUCAUACAUAAGAACAGGGAGAGUGGGGACUUUGGCUCCCCCAUCCUAUUUCUCAGGCUGCCAGCAGUUGCAGACAAGAGCACGCGUGUUUGAUGGAUUAUGAAUCAAACCCAAAGUCCCCAGUCUGUUCCAAGAUGCAGGCAGAAAGGAAGCACAAGAGGUAACAGUGCAGAGCAAUGUUGGGCUUCUGCAGAAACUCUGUCAUGGCCUUAUUACAUCACUGGAGUCCUGCAUUGCUUGUGGACCUGCUGGCAGCUGCUCUCAGAAGUAACACCUUUCCUCAAAUGCGCAAAGAACUAACACUUUGAGGCGUACCCUGCUAAUACUACGUGCUAAUUUUAUGUUUCAUCUUGGAAGCUUUCUGAAAGACAGUACUAUGCAGUUUAUGUAUCAUGUCCUGCUGUAGUGAGAGAAGGAUAUAGUUACAGGAGAAAUGAGCGGGGAGAAGUUAACACCUUUUCCCCGUAUCUCAAUUUUGUGCACACACUCCUAACUUUUUUUUCCUUUAGGAGAAGUUAAUUUGCCUUCUAAGUUCUCCUUUGAACUCCUCUGAAAGCUCAGCUUCAUUCUCGGUAUUGUUUCAUGCCCUACUUGACCCUCUCAACUCACUUGCAAAAAAAGUGAAGUGCUGAAGAGCAGGUGUUAAAAUCUUGUCUGUGUUUCUAUCAUGUGUUAUUAGAUUAGUUAAAAGGGAAGUCUUUAAUAAAAGCAGAAAAAAAAUCUGCAGGUACCAAGAAGACAAUAGAAUGAUGCAAUGCAUAUUUAUAAAGGCUAAAUCGUGACAGGUACAAACAUACUUUUCUCUGAAUUGGCUUCCCUUUGACCCCUGCAUCUGUGCAAAACUCAAUUAAUUCAUACCUGUGUGACAAGUACUCUUAUAAUGGGAAAGGAACCUGCUAUUAUAUUUUCAUUAUCAUCCAUCAGCAUUAUAACAUCAGGCCACAUCUGAGACAUUAUGACUAAAACUGUGAAUUUGAACAACGGUUGGUUAGUUAUAUAAGUGGUUAUUUAACUACCAGACGAUCAGAGGAUGAAAUUAAUCAAUUAGCUUCUCCAGAGUUAAAUGAGGGACAAAUCUGGCUCUGUUUUUAAGCCAAGUGAUGCAAAGGUUGAUACCCUGCUGUUCAAAAAAAAAAAAAAAAAAAAGUAGCAUGUUUUAUGCAUUUGCUCUCUAGAUGUUCAAUACAAAUAAUAUUUGUUUCAUUAUAUAUUGUAGAUGUGGGGAGUUAUAGCUGCUCUUUGACUUCUACUGGGGAAAAAAAAUCAGCCGUGCGUAUAAAUGCAGUAUAUGGAGUAAUUUUAGAGUUAUAUAAUGCGUAAUGAUAUUGCAAAUCAUGAUUCAUUUUGUCUGUCUUCUACACAAGGCAAGAAGGGAACAUUUAACUUAUCUAAUUAGACAUGUUGCAUAAGAUAGGCCAUAGGACUCUCCUGGAUAAAUUCCUGCUCAAAUCACAAAAUAGCUUUCAGCAGAGCAUCCAGUGUUGAUUUUUAAAAUUCCCUACAAUGGUAAAUCUAUCACAGUACUUAGUAGGCUGAGAGUUAUGUAGACAGAAACAGAAUCACAGAGUAGGUUAAUUAGCCAUAAUUCAGCAGACCAUGAUUAACCACAGAUUAAUUUUAGGCAUAUUUCUUGUCAUUCCUGCAGUCAUUCCCCACUUUGGCAGUACAGUGACCAUGCAAUUAUGGCACUUUCUCCAACAGUUUCCCGAAAUAGGAGGCUAUAACAACAAAAUGGUGGUUCCUGCUGUUCCAGGUGAUCCUGCUGGAUCACCUCCUGGCUCAUAUCCAUUGCAAAGUUCCUGCCCAUUCCUAUCCUAGAGCAAGCCAAGAGAACAGACUGAAAGCCACCAAAAAGCUGGUCACAGGGAAGGCACAGUGGCUGUUCCUCUUUCCAAAUUUUGCUGUAUUACACCACAUUUGCAGGAGUAUUCAGCUCAGGCAAUAUAACCUGCUGCUCACCAGGAUCCCUCUGCUUAUACGUCUUGAAUUCAAGUAAAUGACCACUAAAAUGUUUUUAAUUUGAGUAAAUGCUCUUUAACACCCAAAAUGUUGCCAGUCCCAGGAAUGUUUUAUGUUGGCAGUGCAAGACAUCCAAACUAUUCAGUACUCUAACCUGUUACACAUCAGGAAGGAGCUUUUUAUAUUUAUAACAUUCUUAUCAUCUUAAUUCCUAAGAGAGGCUGUUGUACUUAAAGGCUCUGAAGGCUGCAGCGUGAUGGGUGUGAAAACACACAGCACUUACCCAGAGGCUGUGGGAGUGCUGAGCAUCUCCUUGAUAUUCCAGACGUUGAAAUUCAUUUUUUUUUUCUCAAGAUUGACUGUUAGAAAGGAAAAAUACAAGAGCUAUUGAUCCUGCACAAAGCUACCCAUGGGGCUGCUGGCUGCACCACAAUGGCAGCAGCCAACCCAUGGCCUGGUCACCCUGCAGCCAGCGUGUUUUGGGGGCUGGGGUGAGGAAAACUUCCUCCAGGCUCUAUCCCCAAGAAGCUCAUGUACCAGCUGAGCCGGGGGCAGUUUGUGAGCGUUGCAGAGUCAAGGCUUGCUCAGGAUGGAGCACAGCUGCUGCAGUGGGAGCGUGGCCCAGUGUGGGACCUAGUGAGGCCUAGCCAACAUGGCUGCCACAGCCAGUGUGGCUGCCAGGGCUGGGCCUGCAGGCUCCUCACAGAGCUGGGUUCUUAGGUGUCUCCCUGCCCAAGGUGGGACCCCCCUGUGCUCAGUGAAGGAGGUGCUUGACCCUGGGGACCCUUGGCUGCUCCGUGCAGCACUCUGAGGCGCUUUGUGCCCAAGGGCUGUGCAGUCUCCAGUGCCAACAGAACCCUCAGAAAUGCAGAACGGCUUAAUUUUACUUGCUAGUCUGACAGAAAUAACCCAUGAUCUAAACAUGCCCUGCAGAAAGACUCUCAAAUAUGGUUUUACUGGAAUUUCUAUCCUCCUCAUCUUCAGGAAUGGAAAAUGGGCACGCUUUCUUGCCUAUUUUUUCCCCCUUUAAUUCAAAGCAAUUUUAAUGCCAGUUAAGCUGUUUGUUUGCCAGUUAUGAAGGUGCUUCAUAAGAAACAAACCUCUGUAGAAAUAAAGCUGCUAUAAACUUGCAGAUUGGAGGAGUUCAUCAUAUCCCCUUCAAGCUCCUCUUGCCUGGAGAGAAGUUUUUGCAUUAAUGCAGCCUGGAGCUCUGAGGUGUCAAAACAAUAACUGUGCUGUGUUUCCUUAACAAAUCCUGCAGAACUGAAGCCUUGACUUAAAGAAUUAUGGACUUCUACCCUUCACAGAUGUCUUGGAGCAACUUUGCUGUGUUGUUUUUGCUUGUAACAACAGGGCUACAUCUGUAUAAACAGCUCAAAUUAA